CCUACGGGAGGCUGCAGUGGGGAAUAUUGCACAAUGGGCGCAAGCCUGAUGCAGCCAUGCCGCGUGUGUGAAGAAGGCCUUCGGGUUGUAAAGCACUUUCAGCGGGGAGGAAGGCGUUAAGGUUAAUAACCUUGGCGAUUGACGUUACCCGCGGAAGAAGCACCGGCUAACUCCGUGCCAGCAGCCGCGGUAAUACGGAGGGUGCAAGCGUUAAUCGGAAUUACUGGGCGUAAAGCGCACGCAGGCGGUCUGUCAAGUCGGAUGUGAAAUCCCCGGGCUCAACCUGGGAACUGCAUUCGAAACUGGCAGGCUAGAGUCUUGUAGAGGGGGGUAGAAUUCCAGGUGUAGCGGUGAAAUGCGUAGAGAUCUGGAGGAAUACCGGUGGCGAAGGCGGCCCCCUGGACAAAGACUGACGCUCAGGUGCGAAAGCGUGGGGAGCAAACAGGAUGAGAUACCCCAGUAGUC
rnacentral:rRNA from 1 species